rnacentral:rRNA from 1 species
ACCAGACUCCUACGGGAGGCAGCAGUGGGGAAUAUUGCACAAUGGGGGAAACCCUGAUGCAGCAACGCCGCGUGAGUGAGGAAGUAUUUCGGUAUGUAAAGCUCUAUCAGCAGGGAAUAGAAAAGAAGGUACCUGAAAAAGAAGCCCCGGCUAACUACGUGCCAGCAGCCGCGGUAAUACGUAGGGGGCAAGCGUUAUCCGGAUUUACUGGGUGUAAAGGGAGCGUAGACGGUUAUGUAAGUCUGGAGUGAAAGCCCGGGGCCCAACCCCGGGACUGCUUUGGAAACUGUGUAACUAGAGUACAGGAGGGGCAGGCGGAAUUCCUGGUGUAGCGGUGAAAUGCGUAGAUAUCAGGAGGAACACCGGCGGCGAAGGCGGCCUGCUGGACUGAAACUGACGUUGAGGCUCGAAAGCGUGGGGAGCAAACAGGAUUAGAUACCCGAGUA